AUUGAACGCUGGCGGCAUGCCUAACACAUGCAAGUCGAGCGAGCGGCGGACGGGUGAGUAAUGUAUGGGGCCUGCCCGAUAGAGGGGGAUAACUACUGGAAACGGUGGCUAAUACCGCAUACUAUCGGAUAACCCAUAUGGGAUUAGCUAGUGGGUGGGGUAAAGGCUCACCGAGGCCACGAUCACUAGCUGGUCUGAGGGGAUGAUCAGCAACACUGGGACUGAGACACGGCCCGGACUCCUACGGAGGCAGCAGUGGGGAAUGUUGGACAAUGGGCGCAAGCCGGAUGCAGCCAUGCCGCGGGUAUGAGGAAGGCCUUAGGGUUGUAAAGUACUUUCAGCGAGGAGGCGUUACCCGCAGAAGAAGCACCGGCUAACUCCGUGCCAGCAGCCGCGGUAAUAC
rnacentral:rRNA from 1 species